rnacentral:miRNA from 1 species
UGUCUGAUUGGUCUUGGUACUGC